rnacentral:rRNA from 1 species
UAACGCGUGGAUAACCUGCCUCAUACAGGGGGAUAACAGUUAGAAAUGACUGCUAAUGCCGCAUAAGCACACGGGAGCGCAUGCUCCUGAGUGAAAAGCUCCGGCGGUAUGAGAUGGAUCCGCGUCUGAUUAGCUGGUUGGCGGGGUAACGGCCCACCAAGGCGACGAUCAGUAGCCGACCUGAGAGGGUGGCCGGCCACAUUGGGACUGAGACACGGCCCAAACUCCUACGGAAGGCAGCAG